UACGUAGGUGGCAAGCGUUGUCCGGAUUUACUGGGCGUAAAGGGCGUGCAGGCGGCUUGUUAAGUGCAGGGUGAAAGCUCCCGGCUCAACUGGGAGAGGUUCUUGCAUACUGUCGGGCUAGAGUCCGGAAGAGGCGAGUGGAAUUCCUGGUGUAGCGGUGGAAUGCGCAGAUAUCAGGAGGAACACCGGUGGCGAAGGCGGGAUCCUGGGCCAGUACUGACGCUGAGGAGCGAAAGCGUGGGGAGCAAACAGG
rnacentral:rRNA from 1 species